rnacentral:rRNA from 1 species
CCCUUAGAUGUUCUGGGCCGCACGCGCGCUACACUGGUCGAUGCAACGAGUUUCUUUCCUUGGCCGACAGGCCUGGGCAAUCUUUGAACAUCGAUCGUGAUCGGGAUAGAUUCUUGUAAUUUUUGAUCUUAAACGAGGAAUUCCUAGUAAACGCAAGUCAUCAGCUUGCAUUGAUUACGUCCCUGCCCUUUGUACACACCGCCCGUCGCACCUACCGAUUGAAUGGUCCGGUGAAAUCUCCGGACUGGCGUGAGUCGGAGCAAUCUGACAAACACCGGAAAGUUGAUUAAACCUUACCAUUUAGAGGAAGGUGAANUCGUAACA